rnacentral:rRNA from 1 species
UAUGCACGCUGGCGGCGUGCCUAAUACAUGCAAGUCGAGCGAACGGACGAGAAGCUUGCUUCUCUGAUGUUAGCGGCGGACGGGUGAGUAACACGUGGAUAACCUACCUAUAAGGCUGGGAUAACUUCGGGAAACCGGAGCUAAUACCGGAUAAUAUUUUGAACCGCAUGGUUCAAAAGUGAAAGACGGUCUUGCUGUCACUUAUAGAUGGAUCCGCGCUGCAUUAGCUAGUUGGUAAGGUAACGGCUUACCAAGGCAACGAUGCAUAGCCGACCUGAGAGGGUGAUCGGCCACACUGGAACUGAGACACGGUCCAGACUCCUACGGGAGGCAGCAGUAGGGAAUCUUCCGCAAUGGGCGAAAGCCUGACGGAGCAACGCCGCGUGAGUGAUGAAGGUCUUCGGAUCGUAAAACUCUGUUAUUAGGGAAGAACAUAUGUGUAAGUAACUGUGCACAUCUUGACGGUACCUAAUCAGAAAGCCACGGCUAACUACGUG